GAUGAACGCUGGCGGCGUGCCUAAUACAUGCAAGUCGAGCGAACAGAUAAGGAGCUUGCUCCUUUGACGUUAGCGGCGGACGGGUGAGUAACACGUGGGUAACCUACCUAUAAGACUGGAAUAACUCCGGGAAACCGGGGCUAAUGCCGGAUAACAUUUAGAACCGCAUGGUUCUAAAGUGAAAGAUGGUUUUACUAUCACUUAUAGAUGGACCCGCGCCGUAUUAGCUAGUUGGUAAGGUAACGGCUUACCAAGGCAACGAUACGUAGCCGACCUGAGAGGGUGAUCGGCCACACUGGAACUGAGACACGGUCCAGACUCCUACGGGAGGCAGCAGUAGGGAAUCUUCCGCAAUGGGCGAAAGCCUGACGGAGCAACGCCGCGUGAGUGAUGAAGGUCUUCGGAUCGUAAAACGCUGUUAUUAGGGAAGAACAAAUGUGUAAGUAACUGUGCACGUCUUGACGGUACCUAAGCAGAAAGCCACGGCUAACUACGU
rnacentral:rRNA from 1 species